rnacentral:snRNA from 1 species
GUGCUCGCUUCGGCAGCACAUGCACUAAAAUUGGAACGAUACAGAGAAGAUUAGCAUCGACCCUGCUCAAGAAUGACACGCAAAUUCUUGAAAAAAAAAAAAAAGAA